rnacentral:rRNA from 2 species
ACAACUUUUAGCAACGGAUCUCUUGGCUCUCCCAUCGAUGAAGAACGCAGCGAAAUGCGAUAAGUAAUGUGAAUUGCAGAAUUCAGUGAAUCAUCGAAUCUUUGAACGCACCUUGCGCCCUUUGGUAUUCCGAAGGGCAUGCCUGUUUGAGUGUCAUUA